AGCGUACACGGUGGAUGCCCUGGCAGUCAGAGGCGAUGAAGGACGUGCUAAUCUGCGAUAAGCGUCGGUAAGGUGAUAUGAACCGUUAUAACCGGCGAUUUCCGAAUGGGGAAACCCAGUGUGAUUCGUCACACUAUCAUUAACUGAAUCCAUAGGUUAAUGAGGCGAACCGGGGGAACUGAAACAUCUAAGUACCCCGAGGAAAAGAAAUCAACCGAGAUUCCCCCAGUAGCGGCGAGCGAACGGGGAGCAGCCCAGAGCCUGAAUCAGUGUGUGUGUUAGUGGAAGCGUCUGGAAAGGCGCGCGAUACAGGGUGACAGCCCCGUACACAAAAAUGCACAUGCUGUGAGCUCGAUGAGUAGGGCGGGACACGUGGUAUCCUGUCUGAAUAUGGGGGGACCAUCCUCCAAGGCUAAAUACUCCUGACUGACCGAUAGUGAACCAGUACCGUGAGGGAAAGGCGAAAAGAACCCCGGCGAGGGGAGUGAAAAAGAACCUGAAACCGUGUACGUACAAGCAGUGGGAGCACGCUUCGGCGUGUGACUGCGUACCUUUUGUAUAAUGGGUCAGCGACUUAUAUUCUGUAGCAAGGUUAACCGAAUAGGGGAGCCGAAGGGAAACCGAGUCUUAACUGGGCGUUAAGUUGCAGGGUAUAGACCCGAAACCCGGUGAUCUAGCCAUGGGCAGGUUGAAGGUUGGGUAACACUAACUGGAGGACCGAACCGACUAAUGUUGAAAAAUUAGCGGAUGACUUGUGGCUGGGGGUGAAAGGCCAAUCAAACCGGGAGAUAGCUGGUUCUCCCCGAAAGCUAUUUAGGUAGCGCCUCGUGAAUUCAUCUCCGGGGGUAGAGCACUGUUUCGGCAAGGGGGUCAUCCCGACUUACCAACCCGAUGCAAACUGCGAAUACCGGAGAAUGUUAUCACGGGAGACACACGGCGGGUGCUAACGUCCGUCGUGAAGAGGGAAACAACCCAGACCGCCAGCUAAGGUCCCAAAGUCAUGGUUAAGUGGGAAACGAUGUGGGAAGGCCCAGACAGCCAGGAUGUUGGCUUAGAAGCAGCCAUCAUUUAAAGAAAGCGUAAUAGCUCACUGGUCGAGUCGGCCUGCGCGGAAGAUGUAACGGGGCUAAACCAUGCACCGAAGCUGCGGCAGCGACACUAUGUGUUGUUGGGUAGGGGAGCGUUCUGUAAGCCUGUGAAGGUGUGCUGUGAGGCAUGCUGGAGGUAUCAGAAGUGCGAAUGCUGACAUAAGUAACGAUAAAGCGGGUGAAAAGCCCGCUCGCCGGAAGACCAAGGGUUCCUGUCCAACGUUAAUCGGGGCAGGGUGAGUCGACCCCUAAGGCGAGGCCGAAAGGCGUAGUCGAUGGGAAACAGGUUAAUAUUCCUGUACUUGGUGUUACUGCGAAGGGGGGACGGAGAAGGCUAUGUUGGCCGGGCGACGGUUGUCCCGGUUUAAGCGUGUAGGCUGGUUUUCCAGGCAAAUCCGGAAAAUCAAGGCUGAGGCGUGAUGACGAGGCACUACGGUGCUGAAGCAACAAAUGCCCUGCUUCCAGGAAAAGCCUCUAAGCAUCAGGUAACAUCAAAUCGUACCCCAAACCGACACAGGUGGUCAGGUAGAGAAUACCAAGGCGCUUGAGAGAACUCGGGUGAAGGAACUAGGCAAAAUGGUGCCGUAACUUCGGGAGAAGGCACGCUGAUAUGUAGGUGAAGCGACUUGCUCGUGGAGCUGAAAUCAGUCGAAGAUACCAGCUGGCUGCAACUGUUUAUUAAAAACACAGCACUGUGCAAACACGAAAGUGGACGUAUACGGUGUGACGCCUGCCCGGUGCCGGAAGGUUAAUUGAUGGGGUUAGCGGUAACGCGAAGCUCUUGAUCGAAGCCCCGGUAAACGGCGGCCGUAACUAUAACGGUCCUAAGGUAGCGAAAUUCCUUGUCGGGUAAGUUCCGACCUGCACGAAUGGCGUAAUGAUGGCCAGGCUGUCUCCACCCGAGACUCAGUGAAAUUGAACUCGCUGUGAAGAUGCAGUGUACCCGCGGCAAGACGGAAAGACCCCGUGAACCUUUACUAUAGCUUGACACUGAACAUUGAGCCUUGAUGUGUAGGAUAGGUGGGAGGCUUUGAAGUGUGGACGCCAGUCUGCAUGGAGCCGACCUUGAAAUACCACCCUUUAAUGUUUGAUGUUCUAACGUUGACCCGUUAUCCGGGUUGCGGACAGUGUCUGGUGGGUAGUUUGACUGGGGCGGUCUCCUCCUAAAGAGUAACGGAGGAGCACGAAGGUUGGCUAAUCCUGGUCGGACAUCAGGAGGUUAGUGCAAUGGCAUAAGCCAGCUUGACUGCGAGCGUGACGGCGCGAGCAGGUGCGAAAGCAGGUCAUAGUGAUCCGGUGGUUCUGAAUGGAAGGGCCAUCGCUCAACGGAUAAAAGGUACUCCGGGGAUAACAGGCUGAUACCGCCCAAGAGUUCAUAUCGACGGCGGUGUUUGGCACCUCGAUGUCGGCUCAUCACAUCCUGGGGCUGAAGUAGGUCCCAAGGGUAUGGCUGUUCGCCAUUUAAAGUGGUACGCGAGCUGGGUUUAGAACGUCGUGAGACAGUUCGGUCCCUAUCUGCCGUGGGCGCUGGAGAACUGAGGGGGGCUGCUCCUAGUACGAGAGGACCGGAGUGGACGCAUCACUGGUGUUCGGGUUGUCAUGCCAAUGGCACUGCCCGGUAGCUAAAUGCGGAAGAGAUAAGUGCUGAAAGCAUCUAAGCACGAAACUUGCCCCGAGAUGAGUUCU
rnacentral:rRNA from 1 species